AGGGGGUUUGAUCAUGGCUCAGAACGAACGCUGGCGGCAGGCUUAACACAUGCAAGUCGAACGUGAAGCAGGAGCUUGCUCCUGUGGAAAGUGGCAGACGGGUGAGUAUCGCGUGGGAAUUUACCCAGUGGUUCGGAAUAACUUCAGGAAACCGGAGCUAAUACCGAAUACGCCCUUCGGGGGAAAGAUUUAUCGCCAUUGGAUGAGCCCGCGUCGGAUUAGCUUGUUGGUGAGGUAAAAGCUCACCAAGGCGACGAUCCGUAGCUGGCCUGAGAGGAUGAUCAGCCACACUGGGACUGAGACACGGCCCAGACUCCUACGGGAGGCAGCAGUGGGGAAUAUUGCGCAAUGGAGGAAACUCUGACGCACCCAUGCCGCGUGAGUGAAGAAGGCCUUAGGGUUGUAAAACUCUUUCGCUAGGGAAGAUAAUGACGGU
rnacentral:rRNA from 1 species